rnacentral:rRNA from 1 species
AUACGGAGGAUCCGAGCGUUAUCCGGAUUUAUUGGGUUUAAAGGGUGCGCAGGCGGCCAUUUAAGUCAGCGGUUAAAUCGUGGGGCUCAACCCCAUUCUGCCGAUGAUACUGGGUGGCUUGAUUGCGGUCGAGGUUGGCGGAAUUCGUUGUGUAGCGGGGAAAUGCAUAGAUAUGACGAAGAACACCGAUUGCGUAGGCAGCUGACCAGAUCGCAAAUGACGCUCAUGCACGAAAGUGCGGGGAUCGAACAGGAUUAGAUACCCUGGUAGUCCGCACAGUAAACGAUGAAUACUUGUUUUCGGCGAUAUAAUGUCGGAGGCAAAGCGAAAGCGAUAAGUAUUCCACCUGGGGAGUACGCCGGCAACGGUGAAACUCAAAGGAAUUGGCGGGG